UACGAAGGGGGCUAGCGUUGCUCGGAAUCACUGGGCGUAAAGGGCGCGUAGGCGGCCAUUCAAGUCGGGGGGUGAAAGCCUGUGGCUCAACCACAGAAUUGCCUUCGAUACUGUUUGGCUUGAGUUUGGUAGAGGUUGGUGGAACUGCGAGUGUAGAGGUGAAAUUCGUAGAUAUUCGCAAGAACACCAGUGGCGAAGGCGGCUCACUGGCCCGGUACUGACGCGUGAGGUGCGAAAGCGUGGGGAGCAAACAGG
rnacentral:rRNA from 1 species